AGAGCCGCAGCUGGACAGACUCCAUUUCCGGGACGAACUUACCUAAACUGGGGAGAAGAGUGCACUCAGUCCUGAGCGGAGGGAAACGAGAUGCUUGUGAUAGUGAAUGUCCCAGUACUUCUGGAACAUCUCAGACUCACAGAAGUGUGAAGAAGAUGAAAUUUCAUGGAAAUUCUCCUUGCCAGUCCUUGCCACUGAGGAGAUCAGACAGGAUCCUCCAAUUUGGAAAAGACACUUUCCAAAACAGAUGAUACAGCUGGACCUGGAAGUGGCCCUAAGACACGGUUCAGGGCUGUGAUUGAAGGAGAAAAACAAAACAUCCGGAAGCAGUGUGCAGCCCAGCUCCCCCUAAAAGGAAAGCUAGGUUGGCUCUUUGGCAUGUUCCACUGCUGCUUCGAAAAUACCUGGUACCACCUGACCACAGCUGCCUCCCUGCAGGCCAUCUUUGUCUUAAUCAGGUGCACAGGAGCCAGCCCUGUGGACUCAUGAUCCAUUGUGAAUUCCGACAGUUUCUCAAGCCUCCAGCCCUCAACAGAGUUUUCCGAGACCAGCCAUUUGGGGCAUAUGAUGCUUUUGCACCUUAGAACCCAGUGCUGACACCAAGGGAACACAAAGUGAGCAGAUGAGGAAUAUCUGAAGGGUGGGAGAUGAGAAAGGGAGUGAAUGGGAGGUGGAGGUCACCAAUCAAAAUGCUAGCAAGGGAGAGAAGGAGAAGAAAGAGACCAAGGCUGAAGAAAGACCUAGCGAUGGAAUGGAUGACAUCUUGUCAUAGGCAGACUUCAGUUUCUCACCUAUCCGGGCAAGGCCCAGAGCAAGAGCAGGUCCUGCUCAGAGGUGGGACAAUAACAGCUGCCAGGUAGAAGGCAGAGACAAGGGAUGUCGAGAAACUUUCAGAUCGGUUUUUGUCUUUGUGGUUUCCAGCAGGUCAUAUUGCAUUUACUUCAUGAAAAGCUUUAGAAUAUCAUGAAUAUUAUAAAAAAUUAAGAGUGGCCCUAACAACUGGCAUCAGAGUAAACCUUGGGAUCACUGAUUCUUUCCAAAGGACAAGAACAACUUUCUGCCCUGGUACAUUUACUAUAGCAAACUGAUUUACUUUGGAAAUGAGUUUUCCUCCUAGGAUUAAUGUCGGCAUCAUUAUUGGAGGGAAGCUAAAUUAUCUCCCAUCUUCAGGAAAUACUUAAAAGAAACCAAACAGGCAACAGCAAACUAGAAUCCUAAAAUGAACACAGACUCCACUCCAGUGCCUGCCGAGUCCUUAUCCAUC